rnacentral:antisense_RNA from 1 species
ACCUGAGUUCUAAAUUUAUUUCUCAAAGAAGCCAAGCUCCUGAGAGAGAAAUGAUACUGCGAGAGUAUCUGCCUGGAAACCCUGUUGCCUGGAGACCACUCUUGAAGAACAUCCACUGCUGUGGCCUCUUAAAGAUUUAAGACAUCUAAUGAAGAGCUGACAGAAAUCAUCAAUUUGCUCCUCAUUUCAGUGUCAAAUCAUAAUGCAACAGCAGAGUGAACUCAGUGUUUUUGGUAUGAAGAUCUCCAUGUGUUUCCAUCAUCAGCAUCUCCUGUGCUCUUAAUCUUACCCUGGAUACCUGACCCAGGUGCCCAUUCUGUGAAUUCUUUCAUUGUAGGAAAGAGAAAGAGAUGUUGACACCAUGCUCUUGAACUUCCCAGCUUCCAGAAUCAUGAGCCAAAUAAACCUCUUUUCUUUAUAAA